UACGUAGGGGGCAAGCGUUGUUCGGAAUUACUGGGCAUAAAGGGUGCGUAGGUGGCUUGUUAAGUCAGGGGUGAAAGUUUUCGGCCCAACCGGAAAAUGGCCUUUGAUACUGGCGAGCUCGAGUGCGUGAGGGGUAACCGGAACGAGCAGUGUAGCGGUGAAAUGCGUAGAUAUUGCUCGGAAGGCCAACGGCGAAGGCAGGUUACUGGUGCGCAACUGACACUGAGGCACGAAAGCGUGGGGAGCAAACAGG
rnacentral:rRNA from 1 species